rfam:Triticum aestivum genome assembly, contig: Triticum_aestivum_CS42_TGACv1_scaffold_249813_3DL
AUAAGGAAGAGGAAGAAAAUGAGCACCUAAGAACAUUGGGCAUGGGAACAUAAAGGAAAGCCUAGACUAGUGAUACCUUCAACAAUUGGGUGGCAAUAUCUAUUUUCUGAGUUUUCCCAAUGCAUGUCAUGCCUACUCUUCUUAGGCACGUUCCUUCCUCUUUCUUGACUUG